UCUUCACAGCCCCACCUCGAGUCCCUUGGCAAUCCCUUGCUUGAUCCCCAGCCUCACCGUCUUCUCCAAGAUGACGGAGUACCUCUCCGUGAUGCUCUUCUGAAGGAGUAGAUGGUCUUGAUUGAACUCAACGCUCGCUCGACAAUGGUGUUGGCUUUGUCGAUACCAAAGUAUAGGCCAAAAUAACAAAGAAGAUUAUGUUGACACUUCAAUGCCAGAGCUACAAGCAUUAUUCACAGCAUCCCAUAAAAAACUCCUCUCUUCUCGUUUGUUUUUUCUCAAAUUCUAGGUACCAUUGGUUGGCCGUGGAUCGUGCUGGUGGAAGUCUUCUAGUAAAAUCCUAAAUGGAAACAUGUAUAGUCGUGGAAAGUACCAUGGUCUAGCCGUGUUCUUUGCUAGAAGCUCGAGUGAUGCUCCGAAGUCCGAAUCCAAUUUUGUCUCCAUGGAACACACAGCUAUGGCAGCUGCCACAAUUAAGCUGUAUAUGAUUCUACAAUGUCGAUUUUUUAAUUUUUUUUUCUCCAAAUAAGUUCCA